rnacentral:rRNA from 1 species
UACGUAGGUCCCGAGCGUUGUCCGGAUUUAUUGGGCGUAAAGCGAGCGCAGGUGGUUUAUUAAGUCUGGUGUAAAAGGCAGUGGCUCAACCAUUGUAUGCAUUGGAAACUGGUAGACUUGAGUGCAGGAGAGGAGAGUGGAAUUCCAUGUGUAGCGGUGAAAUGCGUAGAUAUAUGGUGGAACACCGGUGGCGAAAGCGGCUCUCUGGCCUGUAACUGACACUGAGGCUCGAAAGCGUGGGGAGCAAACAGG